rnacentral:rRNA from 1 species
CGGUGGAGCAUGUGGUUUAAUUCGAUGAUACGCGAGGAACCGUUACCUGGGCUCAAAUGUAUGUUGACGUAUUCUGAAAGGGAUACUUCUUCGGACAAUAUACAAGGUGCUGCAUGGUUGUCGUCAGCUCGUGCCGUGAGGUGUCGGGUUAAGUCCCAUAACGAGCGCAACCCCUACCUUUAGUUGCCAUCAGGUAAUGCUGGGGACUCUAAAGGAACUGCCUACGCAAGUAGUGAGGAAGGCGGGGAUGACGUCAAAUCAGCACGGCCCUUACGUCCAGGGCUACACACGUGCUACAAUGGCCGAUACAGAGGGCAGCCACCUGGUGACAGGAUGCAAAUCUCCAAAGUCGGUCUCAGUUCGGAUCGGAGUCUGCAACCCGACUCCGUGAAGUUGGAUUCGCUAGUAAUCGCGCAUCAGCCAUGGCGCGGUGAAUACGUUCCCGGGCCUU